AGGACGAACGCUGGCGGCGUGCUUAACACAUGCAAGUCGAGCGGUAAGGCCUUUCGGGGUACACGAGCGGCGAACGGGUGAGUAACACGUGGGUGAUCUGCCCUGCACUUCGGGAUAAGCCUGGGAAACUGGGUCUAAUACCGGAUAUGACCUCAGGUUGCAUGACUUGGGGUGGAAAGAUUUAUCGGUGCAGGAUGGGCCCGCGGCCUAUCAGCUUGUUGGUGGGGUAAUGGCCUACCAAAGGCGACGACGGGUAGCCGACCUGAGAGGGUGACCGGCCACACUGGGACUGAGACACGGCCCAGACUCCUACGGGAGGCAGCAGUGGGGAAUAUUGCACAAUGGGCGAAAAGCCUGAUGCAGCGACGCCGCGUGAGGGAGUGACGGCCGUCGGUUCGGUUACGUA
rnacentral:rRNA from 1 species